rnacentral:rRNA from 1 species
CCUACGGGGGGCAGCAGUGAGGAAUAUUGGUCAAUGGACGAGAGUCUGAACCAGCCAAGUAGCGUGAAGGAUGACUGCCCUAUGGGUUGUAAACUUCUUUUAUAAAGGAAUAAAACGAGGCACGUGUGCCUUUUUGCAUGUACUUUAUGAAUAAGGAUCGGCUAACUCCGUGCCAGCAGCCGCGGUAAUACGGAGGAUCCGAGCGUUAUCCGGAUUUAUUGGGUUUAAAGGGAGCGUAGAUGGGUUGUUAAGUCAGUUGUGAAAGUUUGCGGCUCAACCGUAAAAUUGCAAUUGAUACUGGCAGUCUAGAGUACAGUUGAGGUAGGCGGAAUUCGUGGUGUAGCGGUGAAAUGCUUAGAUAUCACGAAGAACCCCGAUUGCGAAGGCAGCUUACUAAACUGUGACUGACAUUGAUGCUCGAAAGUGUGGGUAUCAAACAGGAUUAGAUACCCUUGUAGUC